UUAGUAUUUUAGAUGAUAAGGAUUCUGACAGGACUGAGGAAGUCUUAGGUAGCGCCUUGCACCAGGGCUUUUCUUCAUCUUUGUGUUUUCCUCUCAACUCCCCCAUGUUUCACGGUGUAAUAGUGAUGCUUCCCUACACGCUGCUCUCCAAUAUAGUGAAUUAUUCUGUCCUGUUUCUCUACUAAUCCAGUCUCCCAGUUUUUAAUCUUUCAGGUUUUAGCUGCUCAUCGCUGGAUCCUUUCAUCGUUGUCCAUGUGGUUCCUGCCUUCUGGAUCCCUUGUUUUUCACACUGCUUGUUGGAUCUCGUCAGCCUGUAAAUCUCCACCUUCAACACCACCAGUCAGAUGGAGGAAGAUAAGAGAACCCAGUUGAAAAAAAAUCAGAGCUUUGAUGAGUUUGAGCUGAUGGAAGGAGGAUCAGGAAUAGAGUAGAGGACCUGCUGAUCUACUGGUUCUAGUAGAUUUUAUAAAUGCAUCACUGAGACAAGACAACAGCGCUGGACCAAUCAGGAGAGAGAAGACACAGAGGACUGAAGGGACACAGAAAAUCCUGAGAUGAAGUUUCCUGAUGCAACGGGGGGACACCUGAGGACACAGAAUAAAGAGACAGACAUCAUGUUGGAUGUCCUCAGCCGGUAAACCUCCACCUUCAACACCACCAGUCAGAUGGAGGAAGAUAAGAGAACCCUGUUGACAAAAAAA